GGAAAGUCGCACGGUACAGGGUGAUAGUCCCGUACACAAAAAUGCAUACGUUGUGAGUUCGAUGAGUAGGGCGGGACACGUGACAUCCUGUCUGAAUAUGGGGGGACCAUCCUCCAAGGCUAAAUACUCCUGACUGACCGAUAGUGAACCAGUACCGUGAGGGAAAGGCGAAAAGAACCCCGGCGAGGGGAGUGAAAUAGAACCUGAAACCGUGUACGUACAAGCAGUGGGAGCACCUUCGUGGUGUGACUGCGUACCUUUUGUAUAAUGGGUCAGCGACUUAUAUUUUGUAGCAAGGUUAACCGAAUAGGGGAGCCGUAGGGAAACCGAGUCUUAACUGGGCGAAUAGUUGCAAGGUAUAGACCCGAAACCCGGUGAUCUAGCCAUGGGCAGGUUGAAGGUUGGGUAACACUAACUGGAGGACCGAACCGACUAAUGUUGAAAAAUUAGCGGAUGACUUGUGGCUGGGGGUGAAAGGCCAAUCAAACCGGGAGAUAGCUGGUUCUCCCCGAAAGCUAUUUAGGUAGCGCCUCGUGAACUCAUCUUCGGGGGUAGAGCACUGUUUCGGCUAGGGGGUCAUCCCGACUUACCAAACCGAUGCAAACUCCGAAUACCGAAGAAUGUUAUCACGGGAGACACACGGCGGGUGCUAACGUCCGUCGUGAAGAGGGAAACAACCCAGACCGCCAGCUAAGGUCCCAAAGUCAUGGUUAAGUGGGAAACGAUGUGGGAAGGCACAGACAGCCAGGAUGUUGGCUUAGAAGCAGCCAUCAUUUAAAGAAAGCGUAAUAGCUCACUGGUCGAGUCGGCCUGCGCGGAAGAUGUAACGGGGCUAAACCAU
rnacentral:rRNA from 1 species